UAGUGGCGAACGGGUGAGUAACACGUGGGCAAUCUGCCCUUCACUCUGGGACAAGCCCUGGAAACGGGGUCUAAUACCGGAUAACACUCCUGCCUGCAUGGGCGGGGGUUAAAAGCUCCGGCGGUGAAGGAUGAGCCCGCGGCCUAUCAGCUUGUUGGUGGGGUAAUGGCCUACCAAGGCGACGACGGGUAGCCGGCCUGAGAGGGCGACCGGCCACACUGGGACUGAGACACGGCCCAGACUCCUACGGGAGGCAGCAGUGGGGAAUAUUGCACAAUGGGCGAAAGCCUGAUGCAGCGACGCCGCGUGAGGGAUGACGGCCUUCGGGUUGUAAACCUCUUUCAGCAGGGAAGAAGCGCAAGUGACGGUACCUGCAGAAGAAGCGCCGGCUAACUACGUGCCAGCAGCCGCGGUAAUACGUAGGGCGCAAGCGUUGUCCGGAAUUAUUGGGCGUAAAGAGCUCGUAGGCGGCUUGUCACGUCGGAUGUGAAAGCCCGGGGCUUAACCCCGGGUCUGCAUUCGAUACGGGCUAGCUAGAGUGUGGUAGGGGAGAUCGGAAUUCCU
rnacentral:rRNA from 1 species